UUUUGGUCUCAAAAUUGUAGCAGUAACAUGAAAUAACAGACAAAGAGUGAAAACCAGAAGUGCAUAAGUGAUAUUUUGGCUGAAAUGGAGGAAUAUCAAAUGAAAGCUCUCGAUGAUCUCAUUGUACUCCAAAAAGGACAAUUGAAUUCAUAAUAAUUUUGGAGUUAUUCAUCAGAAACCAAAAGACUUAACACUGAAAAUACCAAGUCAGUUGGUGCCAAAAGGGGGUAACUACACUUUCACCACUUUGGCAUUGAGAAAUGUAUGGAGGGUAAAGCUGGUGGAUAACACGUGGAUCAAAAUGACUGACACAACAAGUAAGCCUGGUUGGUCAACCAUGAGAAGACAGCAGUUUUAGCUACGGAAGAUAUAUUAUCAAGCUUACUUUGUGACAACGAGCUGGAUGAUGAUGGAGAACAUUAAAAUAUCCAGCAUUCAAUGUCAAUUCAAUUCAAUUCAAUGUCACACUCAAUGAGGUGUAGCUAGCUAGCCGGUAGUUACCAAUAACUUACAUUUUAAUGAUAUAUCAUAGAGGCACUCAGUUACAGUGUAACAACAAUGAGUUUUACAUAGUAAUUAACUCAAAUGAUAUAUAGGGAAUUUGAAUAAUUAAUCAAGAAUUUGAUUAAUAUAUAUCUCAGAUGACAGUUACAUUUAAUUUUAUUGAUUAUGAAAAAUAGCUCAAUUGCCAAUACCAAUACUAAUCACAGGGCACUGUAAUUUACUCAUUAAUAUGUCAAUAUUAAUUCUUCAUAUCAAUUAUUGUGAUAUCUCUUACUAUAAAUUACUGCAGAUCAAACCGUGGUAUGUCCAGCACACCACUGUAGACCUAUCAAUUUUCAAUAAAGUUAUCACGCCUUAUAAUUCAAGGAAAAGUAUUCUCUGGCCAUGAAAAUAUUAUCCUAUCCUUAUGAUAAAUUUAGUUUCUAAAUUUAGAGCUUGUAGCUAAAGAUCAGAACAUUUCAGUGACUCGUAAUGUGAGUGGGGUGGAGUCCAGGCCAAUCAUUUUAUAUAUGGGUUUUUAAUAAUUCAACUAGUAAUACAUCAAACUACAAAUCACACAGAGUAAAUAUGCGUACGAAAAUACAGACAAUAAACAUUUACAAGACAUAACGGAAUCCAAAUAAAAGAGAGAGAGAGAGAGAGAGAGAGAGAGAGAGAGAGAAAAGUGGAGAAAGCGAGAGAGAUCACAGAAUGAGCUCAGGUAUGAAAAUCAGUCAGUAAACCUUAGUGGAACCAACAACGAAUCAAAUAAUAGCAACACUUUAAAGCAGCAUUUAAAUCUCCAUAGAAAACGAUACUUGCAUGGCCCAGUGGGUGAGCGUGGUACCGGCGACGCACGUGUGAUGUCACGUGGUCCUUUGAAAACUGCGCGCGUGGGCCGGAGGCCGUGUGACGCGCGUGCAAGCUGCGCUGGAUCUUGGCGUGAGCGUGGAGUCACGUGUUCCUUUGUUGCAAAGAGGUGUUCGUUCAUCUUCGUGCGGUAUUUGAAAGGUUCAACAAACAAUGUUCCAGAAUUCGUCUUCAUUGUGUGGAGAGGUGAAUAGUUGAAUAAACUUAGUAAAGAAAAGAAAACAAAACAACGAAAAUGAAAGUUUCCAAAUGAGCCAUGAAAAUGGCUUUCCUCUCCUCAGUCCGUGUGCUGAGGGGGGAGGAGAACUGAGCGCGGCCCGAGGCCGCGCGGAGCGACGUGUCCGAGAACGGAGAACGGGAAGAAGAGCAAGAAGAGAGCGAGAAGAGAGAGUGGACCUUGUUUGGUCAAUUCUUAUAGCUUGAAAUAGUUCACGCCCAUUUUCGAGGGAGCAUCCAAUGAAUGUCCGCGAUCUGAAGCGGAGGGAAAGUUCCUUUGUCUCGGUUGAGACAACCCCCUGAUGAUUUAGGGCCUGUCCGAUUUCAUCAGGAAUAUUAAAGCAAGUUCAUUAUUCCAGAUUAAAUACAUUUUUCAUUACUUUGCUCUAGAUAAAUGGGUCUGUCAAAGCAUGACGAUUACACAGAUACUAAAAUUAAUAUGUGCAAAUGAUCAAAACAUGAAGAUACAUUCAAAUGCAGAAUUACACACAUUUAAAGAUUUGAUUAACACAUGAUAACACUGCAGAUAUUCCCAAUUUAUAUGGGAAACCUCUAAUGUAC